UACUGGGCGUAAAGGGUUCGUAGGUGGUUAAUUAAGUUAUCUGUGAAAUCCCCGGGCUCAACCUGGGCAGGUCAGAUAAUACUGGUUAACUCGAGUAUGGGAGAGGGUAGUGGAAUUUCCGGUGUAGCGGUGAAAUGCGUAGAGAUCGGAAGGAACACCAGUGGCGAAGGCGGCUACCUGGCCUAAUACUGACACUGAGGAACGAAAGCGUGGGGAGCAAACAGGAUUAGAUACCCUGGUAGUCCACGCUGUAAACGAUGUCAACUAGCUGUUG
rnacentral:rRNA from 1 species